UUUUUUUUUUUUUUUUUGGCCAUACCCAUGGCAUGUGGAAGUUCACGGUCCAGGGAUUGAACCCACGUCACAGCAGUGAUCCGAGCAGUGACAACAGCAGAUCCUUAACCCUCUAAACCACAAGAGAACACCAGGACCGGCUUUCAUGAAACGGGCCAAAUGGAGUCCUGGGUGAAACAGUCUCCCCCGCGGCCAUAGCAGGGCUCUGACAGGGGAAGAAGCUGUGCGGAUCGUCGCAGCAGUACUUGUGGUCGCGGAAGCCGCAGCAGAAGACGGCGGCCGCUUCGCCCCCCGGCCGCGGGCAGCUGAAGCCGCGCACCACCUCCUGCUCGGCGCUCACGUAGCUCGUGCAGGCGCCGCUCAUCGUGUCCCGCGUCGGGCCCGCCGCCACCUCGGGCCACCAGACGGCCGGCGAGAGACGGCCGGACGGAGACAGAACGGAGCCCGAGGAAGAGCGCGAAGCAGAGCUAAGCAGAGAGACCGAGAUUGACGCAGAGACGGAGAAAGACACAAGAGGCGCGGAGACGCCGCGGUUAGAGACCUGGCGUCCCCGAGGGCCGAGGGAGGCGACCAGUAGUUAAGAUGGAAGAGCUGGAAGCCUGGCACCUGUGAGCCACUGGAAGUGAGUGACUGGAAGAUGCUUCUGCCCUCAAAGACCUGAGUGACUGGAAGACGCUUCUGCCCUCAAAACCAUGCUCUGGACCUCGGCAGACUUGCUCUGGGAGGGAGCGGGGGCCUCAGGGUGUAGAAAGAAACGCUGCAGCCCAGGGGUGCUGAAUAUCUGCGGUGAAGGCUCCAUUCUGCUUACUGGGUGGUCCGCCCCCAAGGCCCUGGGCUCUGAACACAGCCCCUGGCCCACGACCUUACUGUCGCCAGCUGUGCCCCCUUGACUCCCCUCCCCCAGGCCCCCCGCCGUGGCUGGAGAAGCAAGAAAAUUAUACCGACCACGUGCAUGAAGUUGCUCUAAGUGCCGGUUCCCUGCACGGUCGGUCGGUCUCUCUCCUGAUGCCCAAGAUGGAUUCUUUCCCUUCUUUUCCAGGAUGAUGCCCUUGCGCCUCAUCCUGCAAG
rnacentral:lncRNA from 1 species